UCCAGACUCCUACGGGAGGCAGCAGUGAGGAAUAUUGGUCAAUGGUCGGGAGACUGAACCAGCCAAGCCGCGUGAGGGAUGAAGGUACAGAGUAUCGUAAACCUCUUUUGUCAGGGAACAAAGGCGGGGACGCGUCCCCGGAUGAGUGUACCCGAAGAAAAAGCAUCGGCUAACUCCGUGCCAGCAGCCGCGGUAAUACGGAGGAUGCGAGCGUUAUCCGGAUUUAUUGGGUUUAAAGGGUGCGUAGGCGGACUGAGAAGAGAGCGGUAAAGGGGGGGCGCCCACCCCCCCCCCGCCGUUGAAACUGACGGUCUUGAGUGGGCGAGAAGUAUGCGGAAUGCGUGGUGUAGCGGUGAAAUGCAUAGAUAUCACGCAGAACUCCGAUUGCGAAGGCAGCAUACCGGCGCCCAACUGACGCUGAAGCACGAAAGCGUGGGUAUCGAACAGGAUUAGAUACCCUAGUAC
rnacentral:rRNA from 1 species